rnacentral:rRNA from 1 species
GAUCUGGCUCAGGACGAACGCUGGCGGCGUGCUUAACACAUGCAAGUCGAACGAAGAGCGAUGGAAGCUUGCUUCUAUCAAUCUUAGUGGCGAACGGGUGAGUAACGCGUAAUCAACCUGCCCUUCAGAGGGGGGACAACAGUUGGAAACGACUGCUAAUACCGCAUACGAUCCAACCUCGGCAUCGAGGAUGGAUGAAAGGUGGCCUCUAUUUAUAAGCUAUCACUGAAGGAGGGG